rnacentral:lncRNA from 12 species
UGUCUCUGUUCUCUCUAGAAUUUUCAAGAGUCCUGUGACUGGUCUUCUCACAUUCUGUUCUGCACCAAACCAGUCCCCGUGUGCUUUUUAAAGCCCCAGGCUAACAAACGUCAAACACUGAUAACCUGUAGGAAACCUGGGACAGCUGCAAGAGUCAGUCUCCCUGGAGGGCAGCACAAAGCAGACUCAGCGGCAGGAGAGAAGUGGACACUGAGGAAAUAACCUCUGACAAACUAGCCCCGGCCUGAAGAGAAGGUAUGACUAGCAGAAUUUGAAGUCUGAGGUACGAUGAGUAUAACCAGAGCAAUAACAAAUCUUGUA